rnacentral:misc_RNA from 1 species
UCAAGCUUCAUUUGUUUAUUCUCUUUGAAGAAAGGUAACAUAAGGGGAUAUUGAUUCCGCAUGACUAUACCGGAAUAGGCAUAUCCGAUGUGUGUAUAAGUAAUACGAGGGAAAGGAAAGGAAAUUGAAUGUAAACGCGAGUCAUCAAGAAUAUAUUCGUUUUCUUUAUCCUCGACUCCGGUGAAGCGAGACUGACUAAACUGCCCGGAAAAACAGUUAUUCUUUAUCUCACGACUUUACGGAAUGUUAGACCUAAACCAGGGGUGUCGUUAAGGGACGAUAUAAGAAGAAAAUAUACAGGAAAUCCAUUAUCGAAACAUCAUGAUUGAAGGUUUCAAUAAGGAUCUGAUAAAGAAAUUAAAC